rnacentral:rRNA from 1 species
ACGGGAGGCAGCAGUGGGGAAUAUUGGACAAUGGGGGAAACCCUGAUCCAGCGACGCCGCGUGAGUGAAGAAGUAUUUCGGUAUGUAAAGCUCUAUCAGCAAGAAAGAAAAUGACGGUACUUGACUAGGAAGCCCCGGCUAACUACGUGCCAGCAGCCGCGGUAAUACGUAGGGGGCAAGCGUUAUCCGGAUUUACUGGGUGUAAAGGGAGCGUAGACGGCGAUGCAAGUCUGAAGUGAAAGCCCGGGGCUCAACCCCGGAACUGCUUUGGAAACUGUAUAGCUAGAGUGCAGGAGAGGUAUGUGGAAUUCCUAGUGUAGCGGUGAAAUGCGUAGAUAUUAGGAGGAACACCAGUGGCGAAGGCGACAUACUGGACUGUAACUGACGUUGAGGCUCGAAGGCGUGGGGAGCAAACAGGAUUAGAUACCCUGGUA